UGGUUGAAAGGAAAAAAUAUGAUGAUUUGUUUCAAGAAAGUCAAAAAAUAAUAAAUAAAGAUGAUAUUGAUUGCGAUGACCAAGAGAUUCAUUUUAAGACACACCCAUCUUCAUCAUCUUAAAAUAAAAAGGAUAAAUAUGAUAGAUUUCCAUUAUCUCAAACAAAAACAAAGAGUUCAAAAUAUUGGUGGUAAGAAUUGUCAAAAACUUGUGAUAGCUAUGAUGAAGAGUUUUAUGACAAAUUCAUUCAUGAUCAAAUUUAAUAUGGCAGCUGUAAAAAACAAAGGAUCGUUUUAGUCUAACACCA